rnacentral:rRNA from 1 species
UGGGGAAUUUUGCACAAUGGGGGAAAACCUGAUGCAGCGACGCCGCGUGAUUUAGAAGGCCUUCGGGUUGUAAAAAUCUUUUUUACGGGAUGAAAAUGACAGUACCGUAAGCAUAAGGUCCGGCUAAAUACGUGCCAGCAGCCGCGGUAAUACGUAUGGACCGAGCGUUGUCCGGAAUCAUUGGGCGUAAAGGGUAAGUAGGCGGCCUAGUAAGUUAGAAGUGAAAUAAUAUAGCUCAACUAUAUAAAGCUUUUAAAACUGCUAGGCUUGAGAGAUGGAAGGGAAAGUUGAAUUCCUAGUGUAGCGGUGAAAUGCGCAGAUAUUAGGAAGAAUACCGGUGGCGAAGGCGACUUUCUGGUCAUCAUCUGACGCGGAGGUACGAAAGCGUGGGUAGCAAACAGG